GCCCAGGGAGAGCUCGGUAGGCAGAGCGCGAGACUCUUAAUCUCAAGGUUGUGGAUUCGAGUCCCGCUUUGGGCC